UUUAUUAUUGUUCUUUAUAACGGUGAAAGAAGUUCACGGUCGGGGCUGCCUUGGAUUUAAUGAUGCCGUGUUGUCUUAGAUUUGGAAUAACAUUGCUGUUAGCAGUGUUAGUCACUGAAGUUUGGACGCAGAACCCCCUCUAGGCUCGGUGAGGACAGAAUGUCAAGGGAGUGUUAUGAUGAUGAUGUUGGAGAAGUCUUUUGUUGGAAAGUAUUUUCGUAUCAAUGUGAUUGACAAUAAGGGGGCGCUUCUGUCCCUCUCUCCAAGACUGGCUGCACAGUGUGGAUAUAGCUUAACUGUUGACUUCUUGGGAAAUGCCAAGUUCCUUGCUUCUGUGCUGAGCUGCUUUGCUCAGAACACAAAUGAUGAGACCUACAAGCUGACGGUACAAAUCAGUGUCUUCUCAAACAGUGCUAUGACUUCAGCUUCCUCCUAUGUUCAGAGCAUGACAUGCCGCUAUUCUCCAUGGGUGGAGAGGGAGAUUCUGUGUGAGAGAAACUACAUGGAGGUUUCUGUGAGAAGAGGUGUGCCACUUAUUGAGCCAAACUUUGUUCAAGAUGAUCCUGAUUGGUCCCUUGCAUACCCUGAGGCAACUGCUGCUGACAACAGCAUCUGGAAAAUUGUGUUCCAUCUCCAGCAAAUAGAAAGACAACCAUGACUGUUGCUCAGGCCAUGACAAAUGGCUAUGGCAUAAACACUACACCAACUCGAAUUCUGGUUAGAGCUGCAUACAACUCCACAGAAAGCCAGCCUCAGGUGAUCCAAACUGUACCAAUGGCUGUGCUAAGGUCAACCACCUUUUAUAAGCAAAGAUGGAUGGUCAUGAUGGUGGACACUGCAGUUACAUGUCC